GGACGCUUAGCUCAGUUGGUUAGAGCAUCUCGUUUACACCGAGAGGGUCGGGGGUUCGAGCCCCUCAGCGUCCACCA
rnacentral:tRNA from 3 species